GUACUUUAAGGGAUAUUAGCAAGGGGAAAAAAAAACCCAUAAAGAUCUCGUCAGAAAGUCAUCAUUUAUUCAUUAACACAACCUCAAGUCCAGAAACAUGACAACUCCUCUAUCUCGGUUAUGAUCCUUCCAGAUAACAGAGUGACGGGGUCAUGAAUCCCCUUCAACGGCCCCGAGAUGUGCUCAUCCCAGAGUGGCCUCGUCAGGGACACACUGUCAUUCUGCCAGCCGUGCCAGUGUGAGCUACGUGGGGUGACCACGCAAGGGAGCUGCUGCGUGCUAAUUUUAUCCCAGUCCCUCACCUCUUCGAGCACAGGGAUCCAUGAAUCAGACAGCAAAUCUGAGAAAGAAAAGAAGGCAUUCGGAAUAAUUUUAGGAAGAGGAGGGAUGGGCCAUUUUUGGAACUUCAAUAUCAAGACAGGAGAAAGGAGGAGAAAGAGAGAAUAUGAAUUUUCCAUUUUCCGAGACUGUCUGCAAUUCGCUCCUGAUAAAUCAGUUUGGAAUAAAGCUCAGAUACAAAGGUUGGGCAGGAGCAUCUGAUUGGCCCAGCCUGGACCACACAGCCAAGCAGUACCUGCCAGGGAGGCAGGAGGGGAUCUUUUACCUUCCUCUGGCUUCAUAGUGGUAGGUGAGCUGCUGCUUUCCACCUGACUUAGGAUCCCCCCAGGGAAGAGAUGUUUGGAUGAUGGGCGGCAACAGUGAUCUAUUCACUCCAGGUGUUUAGCUCAUCUGUCUUCAAGUCAUCCUAUGAGAUCUAUCACGCGUGUGUCUUCUCCUCAACCAGAUGUGAGCCCCACAAAGGCAGGGGCUACGUGUUGUUCCCUGCUGUACCUCUCGUGCCCGGCACGCAGGAGGUGCUCAAAAAAUACAUGUUGACAGUGGACUAAAAUGAAUGAUCCAAUGCUUGA